GUUCAGGCCAGAAAGGAACAUCUGUACUGAAAGGUUGAACUCGACACGGUUUAGAGUUUUACACUGGCCUGUUCUAAGCUGGUCAUCUUUGCUGAUCCAUGGGAGACAGUUGCCCUGCACCAGCCCACGGUCAGCCUCCUGGAGAGGUAGAAGUGGAUUCUCUCACCGCAGCACUCAGGUCAGCCGAACUAUUUUAAUUUGCAGAACAUUACACAUGCAUACAUAUAUUUAUAU
rnacentral:lncRNA from 1 species